UACGUAGGGCGCAAGCGUUAUCCGGAAUUAUUGGGCGUAAAGAGCUCGUAGGCGGUUUGUCGCGUCUGCCGUGAAACCCCGGGGCUUAACUCCGGGCCUGCAUUCGAUACGGGCUGACUAGAGUUCGGCAGGGGAGACUGGAAUUCCUGGUGUAGCGGUGAAAUGCGCAGAUAUCAGGAGGAACACCGGUGGCGAAGGCGGGUCUCUGGGCCGAUACUGACGCUGAGGAGCGAAAGCGUGGGGAGCGAACAGG
rnacentral:rRNA from 1 species